CAGGGGGUCCCCGUGGCAGUUAAGACCAUGUAGGGGUUCCCAUGGCAGUUAAGACCAUGUGGGGGUUCUCAUGGCAGGUAGUAAGACCAUGUGGGGUUCCCAUGGCAGUGGGCUAAGACCACGCAGGGGUUCCAGUGGCACCUGGAGUAAAACCCUGGAGGGUUUCCAGGGCAUCCCUAUUUUCUUAUAUGAAGGACUUGUGCAGUUGAUACUGUUUAUGUGAUUAUGUGUAUAAGACCUUGGAGGGUUUCCAUGGCACCCCAUAUGUUUGUAUACAUGGAUAUGUGAUAUGUGUAGCUUAUACAACUAAUAUGGAUUAUGUGAUAAUCUGGAUUAUGUGGGGUAAGCUCUUGCUAACUCACUAAGCUUCGUGCUUACAGUUUUGUUUAUGGUUUCAGGUAUCAUCAGUUUGGAAAGGAAGGGCUCGGCUUGAUAGCAGCGUACACACCCGUGUUUUCCGCAUUAUGUGAUUUUGGGACAUAUUUCUGAUAAAUGUUUCAAUUAAGUAAUGUUUUGAAUGAUUGAAUGAAGUAACAUUUGUGUUUCGACUAAAUAAAAAUGAAAUUUUUACCCUUGAUUUUUGGGUCGUUACAUCGCACAGUGGAGCCUAUGGAGCAGCAGGCUCGACAUGUUAUGCUUGUGGCCAGCCAGGCCACAUGAGUAGGAAUUGCCCCAAGAAGGGCUUGAUUUGUUUCCAAUGCAAGCGGACCGGUCAUAAAAAGUCCGAUUGUCCGAGUUUGGUUAGAGGAGGAAGAGCAGUGGCGGUGCUUGCACUCGCCAUAGUGGUGAGGAUUACAGAUGGCUACCCGGUCAAGGCGGAAGCUCCUACGGUGAAGAGUAGCGCAUUUCAUCUGACUACAGAGGAGGCCCGAGUAGCGCCAGACGUCAUGACUGGGGCUACCCAAUCAUUUGUAUCUCUUGCGCUCAGCAAGAAGUUUCAAGAUACUCUGGGGAGUUUGGAUUCCUGAUAGUUUCAUAUUUAUACACAUUUCUAGCCAAGAGUGGACAUUAUUGAAGAAAAUGAUUGAAACCGAGAAAAGUUAGAUACUUGGAGGACUGGAUCUGAAAAAGAUACAAAAAGGAUGUUUUUAGACAGUUUGACCCCUCUUCGGUAUUUUGACCAUAUCUCAUGACUCGUAACUCCGAUUGGUGAGAUUCAAAAUGAUCUGAAAACUAGACAAAAUUUCGGACGACUUUAGUUUUCAUGCCAAAUGCUAAUUCCAAGUUCUCACAACGUGAGGAGUAUCAUCUCACGACGUGAGAUUGAUUCUUCUGAAGAUAGCUACGCGGAAUGCAGUUUCCUUGCCAAAGAUGAAUUCUAUUGAUCUCACGACGUGAGACACUAAUUCUCACGACAUGAGACACGAUUUUUGAAAACUAUAAAUAUCCCUUAGCAUAUCAACUUUGAGGGGUUGGAUAUGAUUUUCUGUAGUUAUAAUCGAGCUUAGAGGUCAGAAAAGUGCGAAAAACACCUUUUGGAAGGAGUGAUUGUUUGAAGAUCGAAAAUUUGAAGAUUAGAACACUACAUUCGGUUUGCAUUAGUUUAAUUAUGUCAAGUUAUUAUGAACUUGUGUGUUUACUUUUAG